AUUUUUUUUAUAUGUUUAUGAUAAUUAUAAAUUACAUUACAAUUAUUUUUUCUCGGUGUUCUUGUUUAGCUAUUUGUCUAGCCUUAUUUCUGGUUCAUAAUAUGCUAAUUGAUGUUUAUGAUAAAUUCUUUUUUAUUUUCUAGUUUUCAAGAUAUAACAAAUUCAGAGAAUGUGCAAUGGAAUGAAAAUAUUUUAUCUAAAAAUGCUGAAUACAGCUUUCUCCCUUUGCCCUCUACUUCGCAGCCACCACAAGGACUUACUUUUGAAAAAACACUAAAUUCUACAUUAA